CGCACGUUGACCCCUUUCUUUAAUUAGAGAGCGCGUGUCUUAGUUUUCGCUUUGCUCAUACAAUUAGGUCCUAGAAAGCAACGAACGUGACCGCAACCUCUUGUUGCCUUUAUACCAAACAUAGUUUUGCGUCAAUUUUCGAAUUGCGCGCAUUUCAUGAAAAAAGGCUUUUUAAACUAGAGGGACCGCUGUUACUUUCUUAAAACCARAGGAAGGUUGCGGCAAUAACAGGUCUGUGAUGCCCUUAGAUGUUCCGGGCUGCACACGUGCUACAAUGAUUAUUGCAGUGAGCAUCUCAUUUUUACACACCGCAUGCGCGAGUCCAUUUAUUCACCUUCGGGUGUUUUAAAUGUGUAUCUCUGCGCGCGGUAAAGCCUGCUUCGGACAGUAAGUGGGUAAUCAAUUAGAAGUAAUGAUUUCCUUUUUUUUAGCACACAUAUAUACGGCGUCUAUGCCCGGGUUACCUUGUUGAGUUU
rnacentral:rRNA from 1 species